UUGCACGUCAGCUUCCGUGUUCGGGUAAAAGCGGCUCGGUCGGUUCCGUGCUUUCAGGGCCAGUCAAGCUAACAAUUAAUAAAAGUUCCUCGAUCCGAAGCUCCAAAAGUAAGCUGGAGCAAAGAAGUACACCUCGUUAUACGUUCACGGAUACAAAGUGUCAAACAGACCAAACAACUUUACGGUUCGGACUUUUUGCUUCCGAACCAAGAGGACCGCGGUCCUCGAGGGCCGCAGAUGUGCCUCUGCUGCACCACCCCCGAAUAAGGCUCUGGAGAACUGGUCUACACAAGGUGGAGAGUGAAGAGGAUGGCUCCUAUCACUGCAUAGAUGGCGUGUAACCAGGGAACCUGUGAUGCAAGACAACCACCAUCACCAAACACAGUCAGCGUGCUAAUUUUAGCAGAAGACAGUAGAGACCAAGACUAUCUGCUGGGUCAAUCCCCUCUCACUGACGCAUAAGUGGAUACAGCCAGCAGCACCUGAAGCAUUAAGCUGCAACUGUUGUUUAACUCAUCAUUAUCCUGGGCUAAAUUAGCCUUCUUCUGGAAGGCCCCGGAUUAAAAAAAGGAAAGAAAAGAGGGGUGACAUACAUAUCCGAAGGGGACGACGAUGGAGAUGGUAAUAGCACAGAGAAGCAUGGCCAUACACAGAGAGAACAGCACGCCCUGGCAGGA